AACACACUCCGGAACUUCAGUGCCCCGCUGCUUUGAACAGUGAAGAAUUGGGCAGCUCCGAAGCCUCGAGGACUGCGGCACGCCAUCGACGUCGCACACUCGUUGUAUUCACAGCACCGCUUCGUAUUACGUCGCACAUAGACAAACUAAAAGCUCCGUGAUUGAAACAACACGGAAAUGUCAGAGGUGACAGCGUUCUCGGCCUACCAGACCCGCUCGACGCUGCUGGUGGAGAGGGAGAGGGCACUGGACGCGCGCCGCACCGCGGUUGCGGAGCUGCGGCAGAUGGUCGCCACGCUGACAGCCGAGAACCGCACUCGGGAAGAGCAGCUGGUGGCCGAGCGCUCCCGCUUCAGGGAACGCAAGUCAGCCCAAGACGCAAAGGUCUCUACAAAGGAGGCGGAGGCUCGCACUCAGCAGAACCGCGUCAGCGUAUUAGAGGAGGAGGAGCGGCAGCUCGGCAGCACCAUCGCAGAGCGCGUGGAGGAGGUUCGAACGGCCACCGCCGAGGUGGAGCGACGCCGCGACCUCGAAAAGACUUUGCGCGAAGCGAGGGAGGCACUCAACAAGGCCAAGUUCGCCUUGGAGGAGAACGACGCCAAGGUGAUGCGCCUGGAGACGCGCCUCGCGCGACAGGAACUGGCCACAGAUAAGCGUCAUGCCCAGCUGGCGGGGCGUGUGCCACAGUACUGGUUUCCUCGGGUGCCGGAGGCUGACAAGUCCGCCUCGCUGGAGGACACGGCUGGGGAGAGUGUGUACCUUGUGGAUGAGCUCGCGUGAGUUGAUAGAUGCAUGGAAGUCACCAACACCACUACCUUCCCCCGCUUCCCUUCCCCUUGGUAGGUGCGGUGUUGGCAUUGCACCGUACUUCUCGUUUUUUUAUGUGUUUUCUCUGUUAGAUGCAUCACUUCUCGUCGUUUCUGUUUUACGUGCGCUCAGCUGUUCUCCCCCCGCCCCGCCUCUCUCCACAGCUUUAUUGCCCUUCGCUUUUUUCAACAGCUGUCUCUACGUGUGCGGGAUGUGUUUCUGUGGGGUCCUGCUGGGAAGGGCAGAGGAUGGAUACGGGGCCCAUCAGUGACAACGCUCCGUCGUCUUCCCCCUGUCCCUCUCUCUCUCCGCUUGUGCUUUCUUGACAGUCGACACACCCGUACUUCUGGCGCUAAACGCUGACGACC
rnacentral:misc_RNA from 1 species